GGUCGAUUGGAUGAGUGGUUGAGUCGACGGUCUGCAAAACCGUUUAGUCCGGUUCGAUUCCGGGAUCGACCUCA
rnacentral:tRNA from 1 species